UGGGGAAUUUUGGACAAUGGGCGAAAGCCUGAUCCAGCAAUGCCGCGUGUGUGAAGAAGGCCUUCGGGUUGUAAAGCACUUUUGUCCGGAAAGAAAUCCUUGGCUCUAAUACAGUCGGGGGAUGACGGUACCGGAAGAAUAAGCACCGGCUAACUACGUGCCAGCAGCCGCGGUAAUACNUAGGGUGCAAGCGUUAAUCGGAAUUACUGGGCGUAAAGCUGCGCAGGCGGUUUGCUAAGACCGAUNUGAAAUCCCCGGGCUCAACCUGGGGAACUGCAUUGGUGACUGGCAGGCUAGAGUAUGGCAGAGGGGGGUAGAAUUCCACGUGUAGCAGUGAAAUGCGUAGAGAUGUGGAGGAAUACCGAUGGCGAAGGCAG
rnacentral:rRNA from 1 species